CUCCGUAUUCACGGGCUCCGUGGGCGUGGGGUUGGGCUGCUGUGUGUGCAAGCACGCAGUCACACCCACAGUGCACACACGUGUUUGGCUUCACCGUGGAUCUCCGGACCGAUUUUGCUCCCAAUGAAAUGUUCUUUUUUUCUAAGAUGUUUAAUAGGAAAUCGAUAGCUGCUUCCAUCGACUUCGUAGCCCCGUGCGCGUGGUUUGGUUCAGAGGGCCGCAGGAUUCAAUGCUCCACGUGGAAGGAGCACUUCGGGUGCGUCUAUAGUCCUCGUUGGGGCACUACAGGAGAUUCAGAGCCAAACAGACCCAACCCGGAGCGGAACCCGGAGCCGAACCCGGGGCGGAGGGGCAGCCCCCAUCUGCGCAACGCGUUGGGAAGGGAUCGAGGAAGGCGGUUCGGGGGGUCGGGCAGGCUGAGAUCCGACCCACGCUGAGGAAAACGGGAACAGCAAAAGGGACCCCCGCUCAGAACCUCAUUAGUGCUAAUUAAGAGCUGCGCGUUAUUCCCCUGCCACGGAACCAUCCCCUGAUGGGCGGCCAGGAAAGGAAUCCGAGCUGCAAUGCCCUCCGCUUCCCAACAGUUCACAUUU
ensembl:lncRNA